UACGGAGGGGGCAAGCGUUACUCGGAAUUAUUGGGCGUAAAGGGCGCGUAGGCGGUCGUGUGCGUCAGAGGUGAAAUCCCCGGGCUUAACCCGGGAGCUGCCUCUGAUACGGCAUGGCUUGAGUCCGGGAGAGGAGAGCAGAAUUCCCAGUGUAGCGGUGAAAUGCGUAGAUAUUGGGAGGAAUACCGGUGGCGAAGGCGGCUGCUCUGGACCGGUACUGACGCUGAUGCGCGAAAGCGUGGGUAGCAAACAGG
rnacentral:rRNA from 1 species